CCUACGGGUGGCAGCAGUGAGGAAUAUUGGUCAAUGGGCGCAAGCCUGAACCAGCCAAGUAGCGUGAAGGAUGACUGCCCUACGGGUUGUAAACUUCUUUUAUAAAGGAAUAAAGUGAGGCCCGUGUGCCUUUUUGUAUGUACUUUAUGAAUAAGGAUCGGCUAACUCCGUGCCAGCAGCCGCGGUAAUACGGAGGAUCCGAGCGUUAUCCGGAUUUAUUGGUUUUAAGGGGAGCUUAGAUGGGUUGUUAAGUCAGUUUGGAAUGUUUGCGGCUCAACCGGAAAAUUGCAAUUGAUACUGGCAGGCUGGAGUACAGAUGAGGUAGGCGGAAUUCGUGGUGUAGCGGUGAAAUGCUUAGAUAUCACGAAGAACUCCGAUUGCGAAGGCAGCUUACUAAACUGCCACUGACAUUGAUGCUCGAAAGUGUGGGUAUCAAACAGGAUUAGAUACCCUAGUAGUC
rnacentral:rRNA from 1 species